GAUGAACGCUAGCGGCAGGCCUAGCACAUGCAAGUCGAGGGGUAACAGGGUAGCAAUAUCGCUGACGACCGGCGCACGGGUGAGUAAUGCAUAUGCAACCUUCCUUUAACUGGGGCAUAGCCCGGAGAAAUUCGGAUUAAUACCCCAUAACAUCCUUGAAAGGCAUCUUUUAAUGAUUAAAGCUCCGGCGGGUAAAGAUGGGCAUAUGUGCCAUUAGCUAGUUGGUGAGGUAACGGCUCACCAAGGCUACGAUGGUUAGGGGGUCUGAGAGGAUGAUCCCCCACACUGGUACUGAGACACGGACCAGACUCCUACGGGAGGCAGCAGUGAGGAAUAUUGGGCAAUGGGCGCAAGCCUGACCCAGCCAUGCCGCGUGAAGGAUGAAGGCCCUAUGGGUUGUAAACUUCUUUUUUACGGGACAAAACUCUCGGUCGUGACCGGGAUUGAUGGUACUGUAUGAAUAAGCAUCGGCUAACUCCGUGCCAGCCGCCGCCGUAACAC
rnacentral:rRNA from 1 species